CACACACACAACUCACGCAUAUCUCCAUUGUUGAGGAGUUGGAGCUUUUGAGCUCUGUUUUGAGCGAGAAGACGAGCCCCGAUCAUCUUUUCGAUCACGUAUCUAAGUAGGUCCUUUUGGGAAGUAACGACUUGAGGGAGAGAGUGACGUUACUCAUUGAUACAGAGACACAACGAGGUUGAGCUGAUGUGAUGAUGGUGCUGCAAUGAGCGGAGUCUCCAGGGUUGUUAAUAAAUAGUUAACUUGUCUAGAAUAUGUCUUCAUACAUAUGUCUAGCUACUUUCCGCUGCAAGAUGUUGUUGAUGUUAUAGUAUGUUAUGUCAUACUUUGAGUCUUAAGAGAAUGGUUUCAUAUGAUGUAUAACUUGAUUAAUGAUAUUAAUUAAGUUUUAUGUUGUCUUUCA